GAGUUUGUCGUGGCUCAGGAUGAACGCUAGCGACAGGCUUAACACAUGCAAGUCGAGGGGCAGCAUGAUUUGUAGCAAUACAGAUUGAUGGCGACCGGCGCACGGGUGAGUAACGCGUGAGGAACCUGCCUCAAAGAGGGGGACAACAGUUGGAAACGACUGCUAAUACCGCAUAAGCCCACGGGUCGGCAUCGACCAGAGGGAAAAGGAGCAAUCCGCUUUGAGAUGGCCUCGCGUCCGAUUAGCUGGUUGGUGAGGUAACGGCCCACCAAGGCGACGAUCGGUAGCCGGACUGAGAGGUUGAACGGCCACAUUGGGACUGAGACACGGCCCAGACUCCUACGGGAGGCAGCAGUGGGGAAUAUUGCACAAUGGGGGAAACCCUGAUGCAGCGACGCCGCGUGGAGGAAGAAGGUCUUCGGAUUGU
rnacentral:rRNA from 1 species